rnacentral:rRNA from 1 species
GAAACCGUGAGGUGGAGGCGAAUCNCAAAACUCGGUCUCAGUUCAGAUUGCAGGCUGCAACUCGCCUGCAUGAAGUUGGAAUUGCUAGUAAUCGCGAAUCAGAAUGUCGCGGUGAAUACGUUCCCGGGCCUUGUACACACCGCCCGUCACACCAUGGGAGUCGAUAACACCCGAAGCCUGUGAGCUAACCGCAAGGGAGGAGCUGCCGAAGGCGGGACCGAUAACUGGGGUGAAGUCGUAACAAGGUAUC